rnacentral:ncRNA from 1 species
UUCAAGACAUCAGAAAAGUAGAGAUUUUUCUCACUUCCAGGGAGCUUGUGGUGAUUGCGAACAAGCAGUGGUGAAUCUUGAAAUGGGCUGAUGCGUUUAUGAUGAUGAAUUUGAAACAAUAAAAAUUCGGUGAGCACACCUUAUCGUGCACCCUGUUGUUAGACAGGUCAGAGAUGUAGGAGAAAAAAUAGCAUCCUACAAUUGAGGUGGCACCGCGGUAUCGAAUCGUCCUCACA